AGUGGACCCUCUGCCAGAGACAACUCUGCACAGCCAAAGAUCAGCCAUAUUACUUCCUCUCCUUUCAGAGGGUCAGGAGGCUCCUCAUGGAAAUCCAUGGGUCCAGCCCGCCUUUAAAUUUCCAGCAGGCCAUCUUCAUGGAAUGCUCUCCAAGCAAGGAAACAAGCUCAAGGAAAGCAGGGGCGUUAGGCGACGAGAGCUGAGGAAGCGUUGUUCUAAGUCACGGCAAACAUGGGGGCCGAACUUUGUGGCUUUUACCUCACCCAUAACUAUUUCACAUUUUGGGACAACAUAUCCCUUCCAAUCAGCGGCACUGCUCUGGGGAUCUAAAACCUCUCCUGAAGGAUGAUCCAUCACUCUCACAGAUCUUGGGAGAGAGGACAGUCCUUGCUUACGGACAGCCCCUCAACCUGAAUCAAAUUCUCACCAGCAACCACAGACCACACAACAAAAACACUAACCCAGGAACCUAUCCCUGCAACAAAGCCCUUUGCCAUCUCUGUCCACAUAUUUAUUCAGGGG